UCCAAAACUCAGCUUUUCAUAACAUGUUGCCCAAUUGGGCGUCUUAAUUAUCUAUCCAAUUGUGCAGCUGAAAUGUUAUUCGGCCAUGCCAUCUUUUGUGGCGAUAACAUGAGGGAAAACCAACUGUUUGUUAUCUCGAGGGUGCUAGCAUAUCUAGAGGAAGAGUCGACUAUAAGCUUUGGACGCCUGCCUGCUUAUGACCAGCCUGCUUAUCAUCCACCAUACGGGGAUACGUUGCCACCGGAAGUUUUGUCACUCCUCUUGAGGAUGCUCAGCUUUGAUCCAGCUAACAAGAGUUCGGCACAAGAGUGCCUAGAUGAUUCGUACUUUUUGCCACAAUGAAUAGGAACAUCAACCCUGAUAGGAGGAAGCUAUGAUCUCCGAGUUACACAGAGUUCAGUGUCUUUCAAAAGUUGCUUGUUGUCUCCCAGUAAAUUUAGUUCUCUGCUAUAAAAAUCUAAGACAUUUAAUUUGUCAUGUUAGACUAUUUUGUUGUGGUACUUAUCUGUGUAGUUCUGUUAGUUUUAGUCAUGGAUGAGAGUUCGAGUCAUGGAUGAUGCAUUUUUCUCACUGCUAUUCGUCCAGUUGAAGUUUUCUUAUAAACACCUCUGGAAUGAGAUUAGUUACUUAGUUUGUCCGUUUACUUUGAUGACAAUGCUAGCAACUUUGGUUUGCAAUGCAGACACAGUUUCGGGAUUUCUUUAAAUAUAUAUUUCCAUUUAUGGUUUUGUC